GUGGAGGAGGGCACGGCGUGUUUCCAGUCCCCGGGGGAGUGGUGGGAGGACGCCCGACUACCGGGGGGACAGUGAUGGGUGGAUAUCCGAUGACCGGGGGGACGGUGAUGGGAGGUUUGACGAUGAUGGGGGGGUGGGUGAUGGGAGGUUUGACGAUGAUGGGGGGGUGGGUGAUGGGAGGUUUGACGAUGAUAGGGGGCUUGGCUUUGGGGGGCUUAGCUUUGGGGGGCUUGGACUUGGGAGGCUUGGGCUUGGUGGUGGGGGGGUAUGGGCAACGGCCACAGCCAACAAUGGGAGUAAGGGAGGAAAUAA
rnacentral:lncRNA from 1 species